AGAUUUGUUGGAGUCUCGGAUGGGAUUUUGGAGUAAGGACAAUGUGAGGCUUAUUACCGAUGCUGUUCCCUCGGUGCACUCGAUGGAAUCAAGUCCACCACCAUCAAGGCUUUCACCUGAAUCUGGCGCGGGCAGGACUCGAGGACCAAGUGGUAGCACUUGCAGAAAUUCUGUGCACCGAAAAAGAGCUCCUAGCAGAAUUUUGGCAGAGCGUGCAGCCAGUAAUGAAGGGAUAGAUGCACCUGACAGAGGGCUUCUCUCUACAGGAUCCUGGGCCAUUAGUGCUUCGUCGUGGGUCACAGUGCAACAUCAGAUGUCUGCAAAGCUCAUCAGUUUUCCUUGGACUAGGGUGGCCCCUAAAUCAUGGCUGCAGCUG